ACUCCUACGGGAGGCAGCAGUAGGGAAUCUUCCACAAUGGGCGCAAGCCUGAUGGAGCAACACCGCGUGAGUGAAGAAGGGUUUCGGCUCGUAAAGCUCUGUUGUUAAAGAAGAACACGUAUGAGAGUAACUGUCCAUACGUUGACGGUAUUUAACCAGAAAGUCACGGCUAACUACGUGCCAGCAGCCGCGGUAAUACGUAGGUGGCAAGCGUUAUCCGGAUUUAUUGGGCGUAAAGAGAGUGCAGGCGGUUUUCUAAGUCUGAUGUGAAAGCCUUCGGCUUAACCGGAGAAGUGCAUCGGAAACUGGAUAACUUGAGUGCAGAAGAGGGUAGUGGAACUCCAUGUGUAGCGGUGGAAUGCGUAGAUAUAUGGAAGAACACCAGUGGCGAAGGCGGCUACCUGGUCUGCAACUGACGCUGAGACUCGAAAGCAUGGGUAGCGAACAGG
rnacentral:rRNA from 1 species